GAAGGCUCUUAAUCCGUCUGGUUUAUAGAUCAUACGCAUCAAAUUGAUAACUGUGAACAUCUAGAGCUACUACAUGCCGCGAAACUUCGACUUGCGAAGGAGUGCUUUUAUUAGAUCAAAGCCAAUGGCCCACUUGUGGGUCUUAUACUGUGCUGAUUCUGAAUAAAGUAAGCUGAUUGCAUUGCCAUUGAGUAGGUGACGUAUCUUUCAAGUGUCUUCCCUAUCAACUUUCGUUGGUACUUUAUAUGACUACCAUGGUCGUAACGGGUGACGGGGAAUCAGGGUUCGAUUCCGGAGAGAGAGCAUGAGAAACGGCUGUCACAUCCAAGGAAGGCAGCAGGCGCGCAAAUUACCCAAUCCUAGAUCGGGGAGGUAGUGACGAAAAAUAACGAUGCCGUGAUCUUAGGAUUCGGCAAUUGGAAUGAGAACAAUCAAAAUCCUUUAUCGAGGAUCAAUUGGAGGGCAAGUUCUGGUGCCAGCAGCCGCGGUAAUUCCAGCUCGAAUAGCGUAUAUUAAAUUUGCUGCGGUUAAAAAGCUCGUAGUUGGUUGUCAGGAGAUGAACUAGGGGCUACCAAAAUUGUGUAGUCAUACCCGAGAUUCGCUCCUUUAAAUACCACUCCUAUGUGACGCACUUUGAUGUGUGCUGCGUAUGGAUGGUAUGAUACUACUUUGAGAAAAUUAGCGUGCUCAACGCAGGCGAUUCGCUUGUAUACUGUUGCAUGGAAUAAUGAGAAAGGACCUCGGUUCUGUUUCGUUGGUUUCCGGAAGCUGAGGUAAUGAUUGAUAGGGACAAACGGGGGCAUUCGUAUUGUGGUGUUAGAGGUGAAAUUCUGUGAUCACCGCAAGACGAACAACUGCGAAAGCAUUUGCCAAGAAUGUUUUCAUUAAUCAAGAACGAAAGUUAGAGUUUCGAAGACGAUUAGAUACCGUCCUAGUUCUAACUAUAAACUAUGCCAACUGGGCAUCUGGCGGUAGCACAUUAGGCAUCGGCAGGCACCCCGCGGGAAACCAAAGUUAUAGGGUUCCGGGGGGAGUAUGGUUGCAAAAUCGAAACUUAAAGGAAUUGACGGAGGGGCACACCAGAAGUGGAGCCUGCGGCUCAAUUUGACUCAACGCACGAAAACUUACUCGGUCCGAACACCGUGAGGAUUGACAGGUUGAAAGCUCUUUCUUGAUUUGGUGGGUGGUGGUGCAUGGCCGUUCGUAGUUGGUGGAGUGAUUUGUCUGGUUUAUUCCGAUAACGAACGAGACUCUAGCCUAUUAAUUAGUGUGGCGAGUGACGACUUUAUUGGUCUUGCCGCCUGAACACUUCUUAGAGGGACAAGUACUGUAAAGUGCUGGAAGAUGAGCAAUAACAGGUCUGUGAUGCCCUUAGAUGUUCGAGGCUGCACGCGCGCUACAAUGGAGGCUUCAAAAAGUAGUUAUCCUGGUUUGAAAAGAUCGGGGAAUCAAAAAUAGCCUUCACGAUUGGGAUCGGAGAUUGUAAUUAUUCUUCGUGAAAGAGGAAUUCCUAGUAAACGCGAAUCAUUAUUUCGCGUUGAAUAAGUCCCUGCCCUUUGUACACACCGCCCGUCGCUACUACCGAUCGAAUGGUCUAGUGAGGUUUCCGGAUAGGUUGCAUGGAGCCAAAAGCUCCACUGUAUAUUCUAAAAGCUGACCGAACUUAACCAUUUAGAGGAAGUAAAAGUCCUAAACAAGAAAAAACGGGGAAGUAAAAGUCGUACCAGGGAAGUAAAAGUCCUACCACGGACAGUAAAAAGGGGCAACUAA
rnacentral:rRNA from 1 species